CCCCCACCCCCCUCCGCCCUCGUCCGAGGCGACCCCGUCCAGCGCCAUGCCCAUUCGCAACCUCAACUCCGCCUUCUCCCGCCGCGACUCCGAUGCCACCAGCCUCUGCAGUAGUCACCGUGCUUACUCCGUCGGCGCCGCCCCAUGACCGUGCCACGCAGGCCGCCGCGCUCCGUGUCGUCAAUGCCUUCCUCGCCCCCGCCGUCACGCUCCGCAUCCUCCUCGAGCACAUCGACUUCCCCCCAACGAGGCCACCUUCGAGGAUUACCUCAUCCAGGCCCUUCACGUGCUCUGGUGCCCCUACAAGAUCACCCGCUCCACGCUCAAGCCCCCCCCCCCCCCCCCCACACCCCGCAAUUGUGGCCACCGCUCCUCUCCGUACUCCACUGGAAUACUGGAUCUACAUAUCAGUGCCUUGAACAGAUGGCAGGACUCCACUAGGAACUGAUCCACCAGCAAAUAGAUGUGAAACGAUGCCGGCAAAAAGGAUCCAGCGGAGCACCCUAUUCGAUCAAGCACCUACAGGUGGCAGAACACUUGGUUGACCGCUAAGAUUGCUUCAAGCAUCAGAGAGAUGCUCUGAAGAGACAUACAUGCAGGGGUUGCCGUGGGCUGCGGAUGGCAAGCGUUCGCGUCAGAUACGUCAAUGUCGGUUGCUACUACAUCGUCAGCAUCCCCCUCGGGUGCCUCUUCGAGUUCUACUUCGACCUCCGAGCGGCGGGCAUGAUGCAGUGUUAUUCUUGGGUAUUAGACACGUAUUGAUUGCGGAUGCAGUGUGUAUGGAUGAUUGCCUAAUGUUUAGGUCAUAGUGUCGCACCAAUGCUUUGCUCCAAACCCAGACUGCAACACGAGCCCAACCCCUUGUCGAGAAUCAUGGGAUUGCAAUGCCCAAGUUGUCAAGGUUAGAAAAGGAUUGGUCAAGGAUGAUAAGGUUUAGAAGUUCGCAUUUGUAAUGCUAGCUGGUAUCAAAUUGGUUUGUUGUUUAUCUUGUUUUGUAAUUGAACACUUCUUACUUGGAGUGGUGCUUGCAAAAAACCAAGUGCUUCCUGAUUAGAUUUCUAAUAGGUUUAAAAGAUUGAGGUUGUGUACACAUAACUUCCUAAUUUAUGAACUUCUUUAAUCGCUGAAGCGACUUAUUUUUUGUAAUGAUUAAAACAGUUGUCCACGUAGGUAGUAGUUCUUGGGUGCUAACAGUGAGGAUGCAAUACCUUUCAAUGGUCA